rnacentral:rRNA from 1 species
GUGAGUAACACGUAGGAACAUGCCUCAAAGUCAAGAAUAAGCCUUCGAAAGGAGGUCUAAUACUGGAUGUUUUAUGACUCUUACAGAGUUUUAACAAAGGGUUGAGUUUACUCAAUCCGCUUUGAGAUUGGCCUGCGGACUAUCAGCUUGUUGGUGAGGUAAGAGCUCACCAAGGCUAAGACGGUUAAGGGGCGUGAGAGCGCGACCCCUCACAAGGGCACUGAGACACGGGCCCUACACCUACGGGUGGCAGCAAGCAGGAAUCAUGCGCAAUGGGGGAAACCCUGACGCUGCGACGCCGCGUGCGGGAUGAAGGUUUUAUUAUCGUAAACCGCUGUGGAGUGGGAAGAAUACCAAGUUUACUUGGUUUGACGGUACCACUCUAGAAAGUAGUUGCUAACCAGGUGCCAGAAGCCUCGGUCAUACCUGGGCUACAAGCGUUAUCCGGAGUUAUUGGGC